rnacentral:rRNA from 1 species
AGAGUUUGAUCCUGGCUCAGAACGAACGCUGGCGGCAGGCUUAACACAUGCAAGUCGAGCGCUUCACUUCGGUGAGGAGCGGCGGACGGGUUAGUAACGCGUGGGAAUAUACCCUUUGGUACGGAAUAGCCUCUGGAAACGGAGAGUAAUACCGUAUGUGCCCUUCGGGGGAAAGAUUUAUCGCCAAAGGAUUAGCCCGCGUUGGAUUAGGUAGUUGGUGGGGUAAUGGCCUACCAAGCCGACGAUCCAUAGCUGGUUUGAGAGGAUGAUCAGCAACACUGGGACUGAGACACGGCCCAGACUCCUACGGGAGGCAGCAGUGGGGAAUCUUGGACAAUGGGGGAAACCCUGAUCCAGCCAUGCCGCGUGAGUGACGAAGGUCUUAGGAUCGUAAAGCUCUUUCGCCAGGGAAGAUAAUGACGUACCUGGUAAAGAAACCCCGCUAACU